UAACGAAUAUUCCGCAAUGCGCGAAAGCGUGACGGAGCAAUGCCGCGUGCAGGAUGAAGCAUCUAGGUGUGUAAACUGCUGUCAGGGACUAGGAAUUUUGACCAAUCCCAGAGGAAGAACCGGCUAACUCGGUGCCAGCAGCCGCGGUAAUACCGAGGGUUCAAGCGUUAAUCGGAAUCACUGGGCUUAAAGGGUGCGCAGGCGGAUGGCCAAGUAUCUUGUGAAAUCCCACCGCUCAACGGUGGAAUUGCUCGAUAGACUGGUUGUCUUGAUCUCGACAGGGGCCGUCGGAACUGUAGGUGGAGCGGUGAAAUGCGUAGAUAUCUACAGGAACGCCAAAGGCGAAGGCAGACGGCUGGGUCGACGAUGACGCUCAGGCACGAAAGCGUGGGUAGCGAACGGGAUUAGAUACCCCCGUAGUCC
rnacentral:rRNA from 1 species